UGAUUUUUAAUGUUUUUGUAUGCUUAAUGGUGAUUUUAUUUGUAUGUGCCUUGGCAAGGAAUUUGUUUCAGGCUUUCAGCAUUCCAUAAAAUUCCAGUAGAGGUGUAAAUAAUAGUACAAGAAGAAUUUUUCCUUUUGAAAACAGAAAAUAGUUUCCAUUCAUACAAAUUACUAACAACAACUAGACCUUAAUUCCAAAUUAGUUUGGGUCAACUUUAUGAUUUGUUUCACCAUAUUUUUUUGCUACUAUUUAAGUGGACCUAGUAUUUAAUAGGGCUAAAUGAUGAGAAAAAAAAAAAGUCUAUAUAGCCG
rnacentral:misc_RNA from 1 species